UUAAGAUUUGUCUUCUUGCUGAUUUCACUUCUUGCUGACUUAAAGAAACUAUUACCUCAAUCCAGUUUUAAAUAAAGGUCAGAUUAGAAAAGCAUAAACUCAUUUAAAUGUUAUUUUACUUCCCCCAUUAUUCCCAACUUUGUAGUGUAUUUAGGUUACAAAAAAUUUACAAAGGCUUCCUUGGAUCUUUACCUACUUAGGUGUCCCCUCAGCUCUCAGCACUAUCUAAAUAAAAUAGUUCACUUCUCUGACAGUGUCAAAUCUUGGUUCUCCUCCUCUGUGUACAUCAUUGCUUGGAAAUUUUUACAUGCUUUUCCUACUUGUCCCAGAGUUUCUUUCUCUCCACCAGCCCUAUACUUCUGUCCAAAGUGUACAAUACUAUUCAAGUAUUUACCUGGAUAUUUAGGAAAAAUAAAACCAUCUCUUUAGGUUUGUUUUUUUUCCUCCAAAAUUCAAAGAUAUCACUUCAGGUCCACUCUUUGCUUUGCUGUUCCUGUUAAAAAUGGAAACUUAUAGGGAGAAAUUAUAUGAAGAAAAACAUAGUGGAAAUUGGAAAGAAUGAAAAUAUAGAUUGGAAAAUUCUUCUUUUAUUCUUUUAUUUUCUAAAAGCAUAGACUUUUGCAGCUCAAAAUUCUAUAUCAUUAUACAUUCUCAACAGUUUUUUAACAAAUGUUAUAGAUUAAAAAUAUUUCAGAUGAUAGUUAUAAUAGCUUCCAGUUCUUUUUCUUUGUCAUCUGUAUGAUUAAGCAUAACAACUCACUCUUAAACAUGGGCAAGGACUUUCUACGCAUAAAAGCAAAGAGAGUGCAAAUAUAAUAAACAUGUCUACAUAAUAUGUAUGCAUGUCUGAUCCUCCAAAUCUGUGUGUGUAGAUAGUGAAAGACUAUUCACUGAGAAACGUGAUUGGAUAUUGCUUGAAUGUUUUCUGAAAAAUUCUUUUUCUCCCUAUUCCAGGAGUCUAUGAACUGGCCACUUUUCAGAUGAAACCUGGUGGGCCAGCUCUGUGGGGUGAUGCAUUUAAAAGGGCAGUUCAUGCUCAUGUCAAUCUAGGCUACACAAAACUAGUUGGAGUGUUCCACACAGAGUACGGAGCACUCAACAGAGUUCAUGUUCUUUGGUGGAAUGAGAGUGCAGAUAGUCGUGCAGCUGG
rnacentral:sRNA from 1 species